rnacentral:tRNA from 1 species
GCCUCGGUGGUGUAGUCCGGCCUAUCAUUUGGGACUGUCACUCCCAAGACCCGGGUGAUAAACUAUAAGUUUAUCCGGGAUUUCAAAUCCCGGCCGAGGCG